rnacentral:piRNA from 1 species
AGAUUAAUUCUUAAGCUGAAACAG